AUUGAACGCUGGCGGCAGGCCUAACACAUGCAAGUCGAACGAGUGGCGGACGGGUGAGUAAUGUCUGGGAAACUGCCUGAUGGAGGGGGAUCACUACUGGAAACGGUAGCUAAUACCGCAUACCAUCGGAUGUGCCCAGAUGGGAUUAGCUAGUAGGUGGGGUAAAGGCUCACCUAGGCGACGAGCCCUAGCUGGUCUGAGAGGAUGACAAGCAACACUGGAACUGAGACACGGUCUAGACGCCUAAGGGAGGCAGCAGUGGGGAAGAUUGCACAAUGGGCGCAAGCCUGAUGCAGCCAUGCCGCGUGUGUGAAGAAGGCCUUCGGGUUGUAAAGUACUUUCAGCGGGGAGGCGUUACCCGCAGAAGAAGCACCGGCUAACGCCGUGCCAGCAGCCGCGGGAAUAC
rnacentral:rRNA from 1 species